rnacentral:piRNA from 1 species
GAAUUUCAGAAGUUGGAGUGAGCUGC